AACGAACGCUGGCGGCAGGCUUAACACAUGCAAGUCGAGCGCGAAAGGCCUUCGGGCUGAGUAGAGCGGCGGACGGGUGAGUAACGCGUAGGAAUCUACCCGGUAGUGGGGGACAACUUGGGGAAACUCAAGCUAAUACCGCAUACGCCCUAAGGGGGAAAGCGGGGGACCUUCGGGCCUCGCGCUAUCGGAUGAGCCUGCGUAGGAUUAGCUAGUUGGUGAGGUAAAGGCUCUCCAAGGCGACGAUCCUUAGCUGGUCGGAGAGGAUGAUCAGCCACACUGGGACUGAGACGCGGCCCAGAGUCCUACGGGAGGCAGCAGUGGGGAAUAUUGCGCAAUGGGGGCAACCCUGACGCAGCCAUGCCGCGUGUGUGAAGAAGGCCUUCGGGUUGUAAAGCACUUUCAAUGGGGAAGAAAAGCGUACUGUUAAUAGCGGUGCGCCGUGACGUUACCCAUAGAAGAAGCACCGGCUAACUCCGUGCCAGCAGCCGCCGUAACAC
rnacentral:rRNA from 1 species